UCUUCCGGACCGAAACGCGCAGCCGCACUUCUCUGUUCCGGCAGGUGGAAUAGGCCCCCGACCUGGGAUCUCUACCCAAAAGGAGGAGGUUAGAACACAGGUGUCCUAUUCCGUUGAGUCCUCCAUCAUUUACUAGACAAAGCCGCGCAAUUAGAAUAACAAAAUGCAGUCGGGAGAAAUCGCUAACCUCUGUAAUCCCAGCAUUUUGAGAGGCUGAGGCUAGAGGAUCGCUUGAGUCCAGGAGUUCAAGCCUGCAGUGUGCUAUGAUCGGACCAUUGCACUUCAGCCUGGGCGACAGAGUGAGACCCUGUCUUUAAUAAUAAUAAUAAUAAUAAAUCCAAAACAUCAAGAAAUUGGGUGUGUCUUUUUAAAAUACACUUAGAAAGGGAACAGUUAGAAUCUUAAUUUCAGGGAUACUUUACUCCUAAACCUAUUCUUUUUGUUUAUGCAGAGAUUGACCAUGCCUACAGGGACAACUGGAAAACAGAAAUGAAACCAUAUAAGCCAAGCACUCAGGCAAUCUUUGUCCUCCCAGUUGACUUAAGAACGCUUGCGAAGAAAAUGUGGCCUCUUUAGAUCUCAGGUAAGGGAUCCGGCUGCUCUCUUUUUCCUGAUACACCUCCAUCCUGCAGGAUAGUUGGGAGUGAGGUGUGCUGAGAAGGAACAAGUUGUCCGCUUUAACUUGACAAGGCACGCGUCCCCCCUGCCUCCUCCUUGAAGUAUUCUAGUCGCUGGAAUAAAUGUUCAGGUGUUUUGGCUUUUGUCUCUUCCAGUUCCGCCCCUCUGUGCCUCUCCGGCAGAGGGCGCCUUUUCCACUGGGUCUCCCUGUGGUCUGCUGGGAGUUUUAUUCGGUUUGGACCGGGAAGGAGCUGUGUUGGAUCCGCGCCCCUUGCCAGGGCGCCGCCUUUGGCCCGUGUCGGCUUCAUGUGAGGAACACUGGCACCAAAGAGGCUGGAAGAGGACAAAAACAGCAGCAUUGAAAGGGAUGGUGCAUCACAAAAAGUGCCAGGCAAGGUGAUGUCUGAGAGCAACUAAGACUCUCAAGGCAAUAUUAAAUGCAUUUCUAGAAAAAAAAAAAAGAGGAGAAAGUUUCCACUUAUUAGGAAAAGAUGAUCAACUAACAUAAUAUUUUCCACACACUCAUACUGCCCUAUCUCAUUCUCUACCCACUCCCACUAAGCUGUGUGUGUUGGGUUUGAGUGUGCAAAUCAAGUAGGUUUGUGUACACAUAGACAGUCCUUUGAUGUCUUGAAAAUGAUCAGGUGUAGGUGAAAUUUUUUAUACUUACUUUUCCAUCACCAUAAAG
rnacentral:lncRNA from 1 species